CUUGUAGUGGCAGAGAAAAUGCCUCGAAUUUAAGCUUCGAUUACGAGAGAAUAGUAUCCCUCCUACAGCA
rnacentral:tRNA from 1 species